rnacentral:misc_RNA from 1 species
GCCCCACUGAGGUGAGUAGUAGGCGGAACAGGGUAACCGUCAUGUAUAUACCCCCUGCACGCGUUUCGCAUACGCAUAUAUCGGCAUUGACGGAGAGCACCAAAGGCGACUACUCUGUUUUUCCUGACAUCCACCCUCUCCUCGUCCUACCUCCGCCCGCCUCCUCUUUUAUCCCUCUGCUCAGCGUGCCCAGCUUGACUUCAUGUGUGAGGCAACACGACGUGAAACAAGACAGGGGGGGAGAAGCAAAGGCAAGCGAAGGAGAAGGGAAAAACGGAUUAUUGUAACCACUUGGCAAGGUGCGCACAAAACCCCCCAAAGUCGAGGCAAAGAAAAGCGCCACCGCUAAACGUGCAAUCGGCCGCGUGUGCAGCGACGCGAUUCGCGUCCUCGUGUCAGCAUGUUCGGCGAACAGUUUCUUUUUUUUUUCUAUUAUCUGCAUGCCUUUUUGUAUGUAUGUGUGUUGGCGGGCCUUCUGAAUUUUCUGUUCGUACUUCGUUUUUCUUUUCUGUUUGUUGCCCUUUUUUUUUCUCUGCCUACCACCGGAUCUCCGUCAAUGUCAGGGAGAGGGAGGGGCACUACAGCGUGGUGCCAGAGUGUAAUGUGCACUCGCUGUGGGAACGCCAAGUCUCUGCAGCCGUGCCCGAGGGCAGGGUGCAGCGUGUUGGCGUCGGCAGACAGGUCUGCUCAGGCUCCGUGUCGAUGAGACUGGCGGGCAUGACGUGACGUUCGUACCAGCCCACUACCAAUCGUGCCCACGACACAACAGCUAUUGAAGUACCCGUUCCCACAAGAG